rnacentral:tRNA from 1 species
UACGAAAAGUUUAAUGAAAGCUGCUAACUUUUAUAUAGCUAAUUGCUACGAAGUAA